AUUGAACGCUGGCGGCAGGCCUAACACAUGCAAGUCGAGCGAGCGGCGGACGGGUGAGUAAUGUCUGGGAAUCUGCCUGGUGGAGGGGGAUAACGUCUGGAAACGGUCGCUAAUACCGCAUACAAUCAGAUGGACUCAGAUGGGUUUAGCUAUUGGGUGGGGUAAAGGCUCACAUAGGCGACGAUCCCUACCUGGUCUGAGAGGAUGACCAGCCACACUGGAACUGAGACACGGUCCAGACUCCUACGGGAGGCAGCAGUGGGGAAUAUUGCACAAUGGGCGCAAGCCUGAUGCAGCCAUGCCGCGUGUGUGAAGAAGGCCUUCGGGUUGUAAAGCACUUUCAGCGGGGAGGCGUUACUCGCAGAAGAAGCACCGGCUAACUCCGUGCCAGCAGCCGCGGUAAUUC
rnacentral:rRNA from 1 species